rnacentral:rRNA from 1 species
CACGUAGGGCGCAAGCGUUGUCCGGAAUUAUUGGGCGUAAAGGGCUCGUAGGCGGUCUGUUGCGUCUGCUGUGAAAACCCGGGGCUUAACCCCUGGCUUGCAGUGGAUACGGACAGACUAGAGGUAGGUAGGGGAGAAUGGAAUUCCCGGUGUAGAGGUGAAAUUCGUAGAUAUCGGGAGGAACACCAGUGGCGAAGGCGGCUUACUGGACAGGUCCUGACACUGAGACGCGAAAGCGUGGGUAGCAAACAGG